AACACUAUUCACUCCAAGCAGUUUAGCAGUACGGAACAGUCGGAGCCCUUCUGAAUGUCCGUUUGGGCUCAAAUUUGACAGGCAGGCUCGGUUUAACGUACUGAGUAAGAAUAUAUCUUAAAUUUUCAGUUUCGACCCCGUUUGGUCACUGAAAACUGUACGGAACUGUAAUCUUUAUCAGAUAGCUAUCGGAUUUUAUUUUCUACCUUCCGGGUGUCAGAAUGACAUGAAACUUUAAAUCUAGCCUCAUAAAAAUAAUUCUGACUUACCCUCCAGUUUUCAUAAUUUUCUGACACUGUGCAUUUUCUGCUAAUUUAUCUGUCCCGUUUCCAAAAGAAAAUUCUAAAUCUUCUGUUUUCAUCCUGAUUUCAGCACAAGUCACUUCUGACUUAUGUUUUACUCCUCUAAAUCCAAUAAAAAUAGUAUCUCACACUAUUUUUAUUUAUUUUUAUAUUUAUACCAAAAUCUGGUAUGUUACAGAAUAUGCUCAAUAGCCGACAU
rnacentral:lncRNA from 1 species